rnacentral:tRNA from 1 species
GCCUGGGUGGCUCAGUUGGUUGAGCAUCCGACUCCAGCUCAGGUCAUGAUCACACAGCCUGUGAGUUCAAGCCCCGCAUCAGGCU